AAAUGUUUAUUUGGUGAAAAAGUCAUGUUUUUCUUGAGUUAAUUAUGUAGUUCAGUUCAAAACUUGGAUUGUUUUGAUAAAAGUUUAAAAAGUUCUGACGAUUUAUUCAGUUGAAUUUCAUGGGGAUAUCUGAAAGAUUUUGGAUAGUUACUUGAUGUAGAAAGAAGAGGAGGAGAAGAAUGAGAUCAACACAAGACAUACAACAGUAUGACUCAAACUACAAAGGUCACGGCAUUUUUGCGAAGGAGAUCACACUUACUGUUGGUAAUAGCGUGUUGAUAUUGAGGGCCCAAGUUCGUUCGUCGGCUUGCCGGCGCCAUCUCUUCCUACCUCCCAUCGACGAAUGAUCAUUUUCAAAUAAUUUGUGUACAUCCUGCUGGAUAGAUGUGGUAGUAGUGGCGGACGAUUACAAUCGGAAGAGUUCAGCAAUAAGACCACUCCCUACAGAGUCAGCUUUCGUAAUUUCAUCCAUUGUUCCUCCGUCCAUGCCUUCGCUCCGCGCCGGAGGCCCGGAAGUCGUAGCGUUAUGCUUAUUUAUAUAAUUUUCUGAAACUUUCCUUUACUUUAUUUCAGCAACAGAUCACGAAGAAAAGAUCAGUUUAAUAUAUUUGAUUAUGCGUAGUUGAGCUAUCGAAAAUCGGUCAUAUUAAUGAAGAACUUGUCGGAGCAGUAUGCUCGUAAUUCCCGUAGGUAUUUCUGUAUAGAUAAAGAUGUCUCUUCUGUUUUCAUCAACUAUUUAGUCAGCUACCGGAUUUUCUGUGCUAUGAUUUCCUUUUAUUUUGUUUGAUUAUUAGUUUCUAUGUUGGAAAUCACAGUUUAAAGAUUAAACAAUCUUACGACAACGACGGUGUUACUUUAUGAUUGGUAAUUGUUGAACUCGGACGCCGGUGAAUUCUCACUUAUCACUAUCUUCCUUAAGAUUUUGAACUGAUUUAUUUUCCUUGGUUAUAUGUUUGUUUGCCAUUUUCAAUAUAUAUUAUCCUCUCACAAAAUAACAUUCAUCCUAAAAUAUUAUUUUCUAUAUUAUCUGACAUUUCUUAUACAUUACAUUAAAAAAAUUCUUUAAAUCAAAACACUAAACAAACAAAUCCUAUGUUUUAUUUGCUUGUCCAUUGAAAAGAUUCAAGUAUCUGUCUAGCUUUGUGUCUACAGUCUAUACUGGUAUUUGUACUGUUUAGUUGAGCUAAAGUACAAUCAUGUUUUUGAUGUUCAAUUUAUUUAAGUAGUUUAUUCUCACCCGUGUUCUCGAAUGACACGUUUCAUUGGAGACAAAUAGACAAUUAGUUGCUUAUGUUUGAUUACAUACCACUUUUCCUAUAUGGACCGGCAGAACUCUAGUAAAUAGUAUAACUAGUGUAAUAAAGAUACCAAUUAUUGUUCCAAAACCUUGACUUUUAGGUCUUCAAAUUGUUCAUUUGAAAAAAUGAAAACCCUUCUUAUUGGAUGAUCGUGAUACUUCCUGAUGCAAUUUGAACUAGCGAGAAUUCCGAGGAUGACUAUAGGGGGGGCACUGCACUGCCCGUGCAGAUUUUUGUUCAUUCUUGUAAAAAUACUUAUAAAUUAGUUAGAAUCAAAUGGCCUCAGAUUUUUCUGUGAAAUGCUUCAUGCUUUAUUUAUUUUCAAAGCUGGUUUUUUGUAUAGGUGCAAGAUAUGUUUACUAUAGUUGCAUUUCAAGCAUUAUGAUGAGAAAGCUUCCGAGGCACAGCAAGGAUUUUAAACUCAAGAGAGCAACGCAAUGUUACAAGUUGAAAUUUCUUGGUUGGAGUUCUCUUGUUUUGAUUUUGAGAACUUGUGUUUCCUGUUCUUUGAACUAAAAAUAUCAAAAGAAAACUUUAUAAAGUGUUCUAGUAUUUUGGAAGUUUUUUUUAUCAAGUAUCAACAAAGAAAUAUUUGUAUAGUGUUGAAUUUAUGUAGGAUGUCUCUUUUUCAUUUAUUUUUUAGCCAUUUAUAUUUUCCAUUGUCGCUAUUCAUUUACCAUCGAAGAAGUUGUGUAUGUGUGAAUGUCGAGGUAACUAAAAUAGUGUGAUUACAUUUGCUAAGGACUCGGAAUUAACCCAAGAAGAAUUUACAAGUAAUUACUGAAAGACAGGGAAGUAAGUAGAGUGGUAAACUUAAACUAUCAAGGAGAUUAGGAAAGAAUAUAAGUAAAACAAUCAGACAUGUAUCAUCAUUGUCGAGGUGUGAUCAUAACCAUUUAAAUUGGUUGUGAUCUGGAACUUGUUUUUGUGUAUUUCUUUCACUCUACUGAACUUAUUCGAUUUUUCAAUGGAGGCCAUUCUCUAAGACAUAUAGGGUAGCUGCUAUAAAAUUUUUAUUGUAACAAUAGUCGAUCAAAAAGGAAGUCUCUACUUUUUUAGUAUGUGAUAGCUUUGUUUUUUAAUGAGAGAAUUAUUUCCAUUGUGCAUUUUGUUUUUUAUGUGUAGAUAGUGAUAAAGGACUUUCCUUAUGUUGUCAUCUGGAUAAAACGAUCAUUUACGGAGUCUUCUGGAAGCAGUUUGGAUCAAUCAUGUAGUUGUACUAAAAGGAUGAGAGAGGAUUCAAGCAUGAGAAGCUAUGGGAGCAGCAACUGCAUAGAGAAUCUUACAUAAUUCCAAAGGAUCUGCAUUUGAAACUAAAUUGCAGGAGAGUUUCAAGACACAGAGCUUGAGAAAAAUGAAAGUUUAAAAGAUGGAACUACAUGAGAUGUCAUCUAGAGUUAUCACUUCUUUGGUAUCACCUGACCAAGGCCCCUUGAGACUAAUUAGCCGGCUUCUUCUCAGAGUUAUGUACCUUGCUAUGCACCAAAUGGUACACUGGCAUGGUCAAUUGACUUUUACUUACUAAGUUUUUUCAACUGGGCUGGGACUUUUGACGAGGAAAGUUUUGAAACCAACCAUAUAAUAUGGAGGCACUGAAGCAAAUGAGCGACCUCGGCUUAAAGUAGCUUGGAGUACCAAUGGUAAGGUUGAUUCUCUGAGCCAAUGAUGAUUCUAUCAACAUGGAACCAAGGAAGACGAUAUUCCUCGCAUUUCAGGCUUGGGUGAGCAGGCCCAAAAUGCAUGUGCACAGCAGAAGUAAUAUGGCGGCAUAGCUUGAUGGAAUGAAACAGUAUGGGUUGUCCCUUCUAUAAUUUCAGUAUGUUUAUGAUGUAGGUAAUCUGUCAUUAUGGAUGAGAUUGUUAUGCAAAUCAUGGUUGGAUUGUUAUAACACUAUAGCUUGAUGGGAAAUUAUGGAUAUUUUGUGAAAACCUAAGAUGAGCAUCCGGUGUUGUUUCGAUGCAUUUGAAUUAUGUUAUUGUAUGUAUAUUUAGAAGCGUCUUUGCGUUCCUAGGUUUUCUGCGGUGGAGAUUCGGGUUUUUUCUCUUUUCUUGCCGG